ACUUAAGCAUAUCAAUAAGCGGAGGAAAAGAAACCAACAGGGAUUGCCUCAGUAACGGCGAGUGAAGCGGCAACAGCUCAAAUUUGAAAUCUGGCCCCCAGGCCCGAGUUGUAAUUUGUAGAGGAUGAUUCUGGCGACGCGCCUUCCGAGUUCCCUGGAACGGGACGCCAAGAGGGUGAGAGCCCCGUCCGGUCGUGCGCCUAGCCUAUGUGAAUCUCCUUCGACGAGUCGAGUAGUUUGGGAAUGCUGCUCUAAAUGGGAGGUAUACGUCUUCUAAAGCUAAAUACCGGCCAGAGACCGAUAGCGCACAAGUAGAGUGAUCGAAAGAUGAAAAGCACUUUGAAAAGAGGGUUAAAUAGUACGUGAAAUUGCUGAAAGGGAAGCGCUUAUGACCAGACUUGGGCUAGGUGAAUCAUCCGGCGUUCUCGCCGGUGCACUUUGCCUGUCCAGGCCAGCAUCAGUUCGCUUCGGGGGAUAAAGGCUUCGGGAAUGUAGCUCCUUCGGGAGUGUUAUAGANCCGUUGUGUAAUACCCUGGGGUGGACUGAAGGUACGCGUUCGC
rnacentral:rRNA from 1 species